CGAAGGGAUUUUGAGUUCCAUCUGUCACACACAACUUUUUGCAAGGCUUCCAAAAAUCACAUAACCCCGUUGCCCAGUCCCAGCUCAGAGAGCAAAGUCCUUUUGUUUAUUGUCUUUGGGCCUGGUGUGCCUGCAGCUGUGCUGGUGGCAGCAGCAACCCCUCCAAUGGCCCCCCUUGGUGGGGUGAGUGGUGACCGGGAUCUUCCCACAUCCAGCCUUCGUUUCUUGGUGUGACGGUGGCAGAAGGUCAUAGGCAUCUCUUCCCUUUGUCUGACGCGUCCUCUUGGAGCCUGGUGAUGGCCAUCCCCCCACUGAAUGUCCCCACGGGUGUAGGGCCAGCUGGGCUUUUCCCACACUGGAAUCACCAGAGGCCCCACUUGCACUUCAUGACUGGACUGUCAACAGUGGUGGCAUUUCUCAUGGUCAAGGUCUUACACAAAUCAUAGAAUCGUUUUGGUUGGAAAAGACCUUUAAGAGCAUCGAGUCCAACAGUUGAACUAACACUGACAAGUCCACCUCUAAACCAUGUCCCUAAGAACCUCAUCUACACAUCUUUUAAACCCCUUCAGGGAUGGUGACUGCACCACUGCCCUGGGCAGCCUGUUCCAGUGCUUGACAACUCUUUCCAGGAAGAAAUUUUUUCCUGAUAUUCAAUCUAAACCUCCCCUGGUGCAACUUGAGGCCAUUUCCUUUUUUCCAUACUGUAGAUUCUCCUUUUAAUGCUCCCAACACGCCCAGAGUCUGUACCUGAACACAGGCACAUGGUUCUGGGCAGCAGAGGAGAUCCCAUAUCAAUUGUGAGAGAUUUCUUUUGAUGUCUUGGGCUGGUACCAUCUUUUUUUUUUUUCCUUUCCCUGCUGCACAUCUGGUGCUCCUCAUCUGCAUUGCAGCAACAGGAGUGCUCUUGGGUGGCAGGAGGGGGAUGUGGAAAAGUGUGCGUGACACUCGUGGGCCUCCAGUCAGCCUCUUACUGAAGUAACUGGACAAAUUAAGCAUACGUUGCAUGAAAUAGUAGUGUAAAUCCGUUUGGGGUCACAUCUUUCCUCCAGUCAGAAAAGACAGUUGGAAGCUGAGCUAUCUCUGAGGUCCAUAUGUGCUAUUAAGCGUGUGAAAACAGACAAGGGAAAAGGUUCGCCCUCCUAACAGUGCUGCCAGCUCCCGUUUGCUGCCUCUCCAGCACACAUACCCGUGGUGAGCAGCUGGCACGCAGCAGUGGCACAUGGACAGGGGAAUGUCUCUGGCACAGGGGGCUUUUUCAGCUUAUAUUUUCCUUGCUGGCCAUGCCAGGAGACAUAUUUGUGUUUAUUGCAGGGGCUGGGAGUUGCCUCCAGAUGCUAAUCAUUGACUGUUCCUCCUCCACAAGGGAGCCAGUGUGUGAACCACCCUUCACCCCGCCUGAGAGUCACCGUCCCAUUGCCGGCCCUUCCCUGCAGCUGGAUAUGAGCUGUUUGGGUUGGAGCAGAGGUGGUAGAGAUGGUGCCACCUGUGUCAUGCUCUGCCAGCCAGAGCAGCUCCUGGGCUGCUGCCAUUGCCUCUUAGGAGGUCAUUCAUGGGAGGGGAAGCCAAAAGUCAUUUGCACUUGUACAAGACUCCCCAGGCUGACAAACACCUUUGCAUGUUGGAUGGUUGCUCCAACACCCUACCCCAGGAUUGAUGAACUUGCAGUUCACCGAGGAGGCCUGUCCAGCCCUGAACAUGGUCCAGUCUUUCAAGUUUGGAAGCAAAAAGCAUUUAGCAUCCUCCUAAAGCCUGAUUUUUACAAUGAGAACGUUAAAAUACUGGCCCAGGUUGCCCAGAGAGGUGGUGGAUGCCCCAUCCCUGGACACAUCCCAGGCCAGGCUGGACGGGGCUCUGAGCAACCUGAUCUGGGUGAAGAUGUCCCUGCUCAUGGCAGGGGUGGCACUGGAUGAGCUUUGAAGGUCCCUUCCAACCCAAACCUUUCUAUGAUUCUAUGUUUUCCAGGGUUUUACAUCUCCAGUCCCAUGAGAGGGUCAUCAGAGAGGCCAACCCCUCCCCAGAUGAACAUUUGUUUUCUGCAGGGCAUUUCUCUGGCAGCAGCAAGCAUGCCAGCCUCCGUGAUAGCAGGUUGAUCUUAUACAACAUGCAGAGUCUGCAGAAGUGAUGAAAUCCAGAAUAUAAAUUGGGAUCUUUCAGUUCUGAUGGCUAUCUCAUUAAAAAAAAAAAAAAAAAAAAAAAAAAAAAGACAAACAAAAAAACACCAAAGAAAAAACCCUCCAACUUCUGGCUUGUGUCUGUCCUCUCUGUUCCCAAACAAGAAGCAUUUAUUAUACAUUUUUAAUUAAGAUUUAGGCUGAUAUAGCAAAAUUACUGCCUCUCCCUGCACUGCCUUUGUUGCAAAGACAGCUGAAUACAAUUACUAAAAGAAAACUUUUGCCUUGAUGAUAUACUAUUCAUUUUUAACUGUGGUCUUUCCUAAUGCCCAAUAAAAUAAUAAAAUAUAAAUCAUAGCAGCCUAAGGGCUCACGGUGCCAUUCUCCGACAGGUGGCCUUGGAGAAGGAAGAGAUUUGAGAAGAUUCCCACAGUGUGGCUAAAAUUGUCACGUUUUAACUUCAUCAAAUUUAUGUGAAAAAGAAAGUCAUGGAGUCUUUGCACCUGAAGCCAUAAACUGGCCCUUGCUCCCUUGAAGCGCAGCCAAGACUUGUUGGAAAUUUGGGCCACCUCAGGGACCGUCGUUUGAACUCAAUAAUAAAAGCCGAGUAGAGGCAAAUCCACCACUUGUCGAGAGUAGAUGUUAAAGGUUCCAGUUGUUUUUUUUCACAUGUACAGUGUGUUUUUUUCUUCUGGUCGUAAGAGCUGUUUUGGUAUGACCCCGAUCCUUGCCAGGAGAUCCACAGCCAUAUGUUUGUGUUUGAAAAAAUAGCAAAAAUAAGCAUUUUCCAGGAGAAUCUUCCAAUUUGCUUGACCUUUUUCUGGGUUCCUUUGGGAGGAAGAGUUGAGUUUUAUAGGAAAUUUAAAUGUGACAGUUUCUUUAAAAAAUACUCAAGGGCUUUUUAUUCGUAAACAAUAAUGUUCCCAAAAUAUUAAAAAGAAAUACGUAUCUUUCUUCAUUGGGUCCUUUUCAUGGGUUCUAGAUUUUUAAGUCAACACCAGUCAUUUUCAUUAGUGCUCUAUGACCCAGUUUGUUACUAACAUGCUAAAAAUUAAACAUACACUAAAGUACUUCACUAAAUCAGGGAUAGGAGCUCCUUAAUGGCAUGUACAUACAUACUCACCAGCCGUAAGACUCUUUUGCAUUUAUUUAUGUCCCUUUUUCCUACAGUGCAGAAAACGGUGCCAAGAUGGGUGUUGCACCGGUCUACCACACACUGAGAUUUCCCCUACUCCCAGCCCCCUUACAGAAAGCACUUUUGCUUUCAUUUAUUACUUCAAUACAACUUUCUUUUUCCUCCCACGUUUCACAACAUUGAGCAACUUCCCCCUUGCUGGGUUGGCUGGGGCCAUUCGGCAUCACAGCAGAGGAAUCCCAGGCACGUUCCACCAGCGCACCAAUAGGUUUCACUUGAUAUGAGUGAGUGGGAUAGAGAAAGGAGGAAGAUAAAUACCUUACAGUCCCCUGGUGAGGAAAAUACUUGGGUUGCCAGUGCUUCAGGCUCACUUCCCAGCUCUCCAGGGAUGUGCUUUUCACAUUCCAGCUGCCUCCCCACCCCAGGAUGCUCCAGACCGGGGUGAGCACAAACUCCCUUUCUGCGCACAGGCAAAAAAUUCCUCUUUGCAAAAGAAACGGGAGCAAACCCACCAUGUUCCUCCAAAGAGUUUCCAUCUCAAUGCAUUCAUAUUUUUCCACCUCCAAAAACGUGUUGUAAGAUGUUUCCAGCCCAUUCCCUUCUGUGGCCUUUAAAAACAUGUCAGUCCUGGUAGUUGGUUCAGUAGCUGCUCCCAUCGGAGUGGGUUCAACUCUGUUGAUUCCAAUGGCACCUAAUUUGUAUGAAUGAGUGUUUUCAUCUGUACAGAUACAUGUAAUGGUUUGGAAGGCAUUUAUGUGCCUGAUAUAAUUAAAUCCAGUGGUCUUGUAUUCCUUCAGAUUCAGAUAGUGGAGAUAUUAUGAGAAUACCAGCUCUUUCUUUAUGGAAAAGUUGUACAGAAUUUAAUAAGAAAACAAUAACCAUUCUUAGGCUUUAGAGCUUUUUGAAUAGGAUUUAAAAGCGAAUUACAUCAUAACAAUUCUAUAGAAUGUCUUAAAAAGUCUUUGUGAGAGGGGUUCAUUCUCUAUCAAAUUUUAAAGAUUACACAGCCAUUUCCACAGAUUAUUUCAUUUCUCUCCAACCCUACUGGUUGCACUCCUAUUCAUUUCUGUGGGGCUUUCCCAUAUGGCACGUAUUAUUUUGGCCAUAAAAAUGCUCCCUGAGGCAAAACGGGCCAUGAAAGAUGUAUGGACAGCCUCAGUUCAGCCCAAUGAAAUCACAUUAGCUUUCUUCAAGGCUGAGUCAGGUUUGCAAAACUCUUUUGCGCCCUCGUUCCAUACACAUACUCACGAGCUCCUUGCACAGGGCUGUGCAGGGGUAGAAGGGUAGUUCCCUGCCCCAUGGAGGACAUUGUUCUUCAGCUGCACAUCUAAGAUGUUUGAGGUCCUGCAUGUGGUCUAGCAAGCUCACUAGACCCCAUCACACUUAGUGGGAUAUUGAAGAGAUUAAGGGUGUAAUCAGCUGAAGUGUUUUCAAUUCUAAUCAGCUUUUUCUUCCAAAUUGCUCCUCCUUUGUACCUUCCCCCUGCCCUGUCCCUCCCUGUGAGCUGCAGUUAGCUGUGUUGCCCCCACAUGCUCCCUUCUCUUGCCAGUGCAGCUGCCAGGGUCAGCGUUAUUACCAUUUCAUCUCCUCGGGGCUUCACCCGUGUUCCUGUCCGUGUGCUCACCCAUGUUCAGUGCCCCUCAGUGGCAGCUCUCCAUGCGGCUCCGGUGCCCCAUAGAAGUGCAUGAGGUUCUAUCACAUCAGCUGACCAUUAGCCUUGACCAGGAGCAGUCUGACCUAUUUGCUCAUCAGAAGCUGAUCUCAAAAGAGCUGUAAUCAGCAGCUGCAGCCAAAGGGACUAAAUCUUACGGGCUCAUAUGUCUUCCUUGGCCUUUGAGAUACUGAGAGUGCACUUUUCUUGCUAGCUGCUAGUGUACUGUGGCGGGUGGGUGGGAUGCCUUUCUAUUUUCACCUUACCAUUGACCUUAUGAUUUAUUUUGUUUAACCUAAGCCUACUGAAUUCCAGCCCUUCUUGUGCAGCUCAGUGCAACCUGCAAUAUAACCUUACACCUAAUUAGGUAAGCACACCGUAAGGCUUCGCUUAUGUUCAUUUCGCAGUGAUUUAUUUUUCUUCUUGUGCCCUUCUGAAAGUGGACACCAGUGGAUGGUGGAGUCAGCCUUCACCUUUUCUUGCAUGAGCUUAAGUAAGCAAAUGUCUUUGAGGGAACUUCAAAGCAGAGGAUAGAGAGAGGGGCAGCUUUUUGGCCCUGGAACUAACAGCUUGACAUGUCAAAAUUGAACCCCAGCACAAUGGAUAUGCCAGUGUGUAAUAUUAGCCCAGAAGAAAGCAUGGUUCUGUAUGGCAUGGUACAGCUGCACUGCUGCCAGUCGACGGAUUUUGAUUUCCAGAGCUGGAGAUCCAGACUUUUUUUGUCAUUUGAGAUUUUAAGUUAUCUGAUGCAGAGAGUAGCAUCUCUCAACCUGAUUCCAUUGCACACAGAGUGGCCAGGCCCUUGGUUUUGGUGAAGCUUUGAGAUUUUCUUCCAGAAGAGCAUCUGUUCCUCUCUGUGGACCUUUCGAAGCCUGACUAGAAAUCACUUAAUAGUGGGAACUUACUUCUAUAACAGCACAAAUAAUUUACGGCCCAUUAUUAUUCUGCUGCAUUUCUUCGACAUAUAAAAUUAUUUUAUAUUGCAUAUUUUCCCAUGCCCUUUCCCCGGUUACACUGUCUGCCUCAACUCGUUGCUAAUAACGUUUGUUGACAAGCUCAGCGCAUUUUGAUAAGUCUUCUGCCAAAGUGUCUGUAAUAAAAAUAAGAAGAAUGACAAGUGGAACAGCACAAAAAGGAUUCCAACAGCAACAACUGAAGGUUAAAGCAGCAUAAAGCAGGGGGAAAACAUAACAACAACAGAACACAGAGAGCCCAGAUUGCCUUUGUUAAGAACAUUUAAUGCUUAAUUUUGUUUUAUAGCCCUGGCGCUCAGGCAAUCCGUGCAACUUAAGAUUUCUAUCUUCCGCAGUUGUAUGAAUCUGCCUUCAGUUCCUGUUGGACAGGGGCAAUGCCUUAUAUUUUACACCUUCAGUCUUUCUCCUCAUCUGCUUUUGGUUUUCUAGGAGCCAGAGUGAAGACAUGUUACCUGUCUGUGGAAAUGUGACUUCUCAGCUCUGUGCCUCCCCCUCCUCCCAAUGGAAGAAACAUGGGCCUGAGUGCAACGUUUCCUCUGUUGGGGCUUCAUUGAACUAUGAUACUGCAAUUAUUAAUUUAUGACAUUUUAAGAUAACUGGGCAAUCAGGAUGGUUGGCCGCAGUUUGUUGCACCAGGGAAGGUUCAGAUUGGACAUGAGCAAACAUUUCUUCAUGGAAAAGGUUGUGAAGCCCUGGAACAGGCUGUGUAUGGCAGUGCUGGAGUCACCAUACCUGGAGGGGUUUAAGAAACAUGUAGAUGAGGCUCUUAGGGACAUGGUUUAGUGACAGUGUUGGGUUAUGGUGGGACUCGAUGAUCUUAAGGGUCUCUUCCAACCAAAAUUAUUCUAUGAUUCUAUGUGUCAAGGGUGAACAGAUGUACAACUGAACUGGUAAUGAAUGCCCCAAUGGACGAUUUCAGUGCAUCCAGUAACUGCAUCUCCUCAUGGUGGGGUUUAGUGCCGUCAUUUGGGAUUGAGUACAGGGGAAAUGAGUGACAAUACCAUUUAAUACACACAAAAUAGCUUGUCUGAAAUUCUGGAGCUUUCCACAGAAUUUAAUAAAUCUUUUCAGCUGUUUUACAGAAUGCCUUGACAACCUUUUCAAAGACACAGAAAAGCCAAAGUAUCUAAAUAGCUUUAAAGUCCUUGGCCCAAGAUCUGGUCCGAGCACAGCUGUGUCUAACCCCACCGUGAGAACCAGAAAGUGUCUGAAUUCUCCAUUUGUUAGUGCUGUGAAGGUCUUGGUUUGGCACAUCUCCACUGUGAAAAGUCCUGCUUUGAGGCAACCCCCAUUUUAGCAUCGAGGGCUGAAGUUACAGGUGUCCCCAGAGCUGAGAGCAGGUGUCCCCUGUCAGGGGACAGCAGCAGCUGCAAGGAGGGGUGACCCACUUGUACAUCCCUCACGUCCCUGGUUUUAUCUACGGACCCUCGCUAACACUGUUAUCUGAGACAAUUUUAGCAGCUCAAGGGAGAACGGCCAUUUGGAAACAUAAUGCAAUGCCUUUUAGUUAGGAGCAAAGGAUUAGAGGAAGAUCAGAUGUGGAUUCCUCUCCUUGUGCCACAAAAGAUAUUUUUAGUGCCCUCAAAGUCAGAUGGAGUUUCUGUGCACUGGAAAGACUGUUCUCCCCCAUAGGGGUUUUUCCAGCCUUGCCCACAUGACGAGUGUAAAUAACUCCUUCUCCUUGUUCAAUAAUGCACCAGUGGAACUUUUUGAACUUGUUCAAGCAAGUUCAGUUUUUUAAGGGAAUUUAGGUACCACCCGUUUUCCUUGGAAUUAGGCUCUUAAACUCCGCUAGCUGUCAGACACCAAGUCAGCAGCUCCCAUGGGGUUUGUGUAUGAAGGUUCCUCAGGACAUAGGGAAGUCUCAGCCCUACAGCUAAGGAAAAUGGAGAGCACACGAAGGGUGGCUAUAGAUGUGAAAAUGGAUUUAAUAAACACCUACUGAGUCUCCCUCCUACUUCCCUGCCUGUAAAUAUCCACUGCGGUAUGUUAAUCUUGAUGUUUUUAAUAAUACAAGAAAAUCUUACUAAUAAUUACAUUUUGGAAUGUUUCUGCUUAGUCAACUCCAGGGCAACAGUUUCACUUGACAUAACAGUGUUUGCUUUAAAUUGUCUGGACUGUGCCAGUCCGUGGGGGUGAUUCAUUUGCUGGCUAAUUAACAAAUGUCUAAUGUAAAUUUAACAUUCACUUCAACUUACAUUCCUGCAACCCAAACUUCUUUUUGAUUGGGGUAACUGCAAGUGGAAGCCAAAUAUUUUCGUUGGUGGAGCCAAGGGGAUGGCAUAUGCUACUCGUUUAGAUUUCCAUUUCCUUUGCAUCUUUUCAGGGGCUGGAAGUCAGGCUUUAACAUUUCCGAAUACAAAGUCAUUUUUGUCUGGAAAUCUGCAAAUAACCAAAUAACCCCCCAAGAUUUUCUAGUACUACUGAAACCUAAACCCCAACUUCUUUCAUUUGUAAAAAGAAUGUGGUAUAUGAGGUUCCUCUAUUCCUUCUUCCCAAAUUUCCUGGUAAAUAGGUACAUACCCAAUUUGGCUUUUGUGUUUUUCCUGUGCUGAGUGCCCUUCAGUUGACUGUGAGCUGGAGAACCAAGCCAAGCCAUCGCUCAACAGAGAGGUGCUUUGGCUCCUGGUCACGUCUCUGCUUUCUAUAACGUCCCACCUUCUCCCGGACGAUGCUUCACUAAUUUUUUCAGAUAUCAAUGUUUCUGGAACAUGGCAAUGUUGACUGUGAUGUAAACAGGUUCAUAGCUUUCCUGAUGGCCCGCAUAAGGAGAUAAACAACUUAAUCCUGCAAGCAGACAGCAGCUCCUGCAGCCUACCCAGACUACGCUCGUGGUGGCUGCAUUGCUGGGAAAUGCUAAAUAAACAGCAGAGAUGGAAAGUGAGAUAGUUGGGGCUGUUUGCAGGAGUGAGGAUGAAGUCUGGGGCUUGCAUGAUGCAACACAGAAGUGUUUUGGGCUGGGAUGACUCUUGUCACUGGGCUGUGUCCUAUCAGCAUGGCUUGGUAGAAAGGGAACUGGUCCACUUUGCCUUUUAAAUGCCUUUUACCAGCAGUUCCUGGCACAGGUUGGAACAGGCUCAGGAGAUGUGGGAAGGUGACAAAUCCAGCCAUGUGCAGGGCCUGUGCAAGGUCACCUUCCAAGGAGACUUCCACCCACUUCUUUGAUACCUUCCCCACAUCAUCAAGUUGGACUCCCAGGACCGAAUGAGAUGGAUUUGUGGCCUGGACACCCACCCCGUAUGUUGCAGCAAGAGCAUCUUCAGUUUUAACGCUGGGAAAGUCCAUGGUGAGAAUCCAUCAGUUCAAAUGCUUUUUUAAGUGAAGAGUCACAAUUUUAUGCACCAUUUUAGCACUGAUGUCCUUCUGCAACUGGCUAGCUUUUUUUUCCCCCUUGUGGAGGAACACUUUCUUAGGGGAGCUGCAUUUUGGGAAGCCUGUCCCAGGAUACAUGAGAUAAGCUCAGACCUCUCAGUGGUAAUUCUGCCACUUCUACCACUUCACUUUGCAAGUUUGGGUAAGUGACAUAGACCCUUUUCCUCAGUUUCCAGCUCUAAAGGCAGAGCAAGGACUGCUGAAGCCCAUCAAAUGCAAUUAAGUCACGUUCCUAAAGGGCUUGGAAAUCAUCUGAUGAAAGCCAUAUGCUGAUAUUGGGCUCAUCUAACACAGGUUUUGUUUCAGGAUUAUUUGGAAAUGACCCAAAGGAAAGAGAGAGGGCUUGUGAUGCACUCUUGAGAAAUGUCUGCACAGGAUCAGCCAUCAGCCUGCUGCUCCAUGAGAGAGAUCCAGGCACAUCUGUGGGGAUUUAUUUUAAAAAUCACACUGUAAUCUCUCAAUAUCAUCAUCCCAAUGUGAUUUCUAGCACUUCCUCACUACAGCCCUCUUUCAGUGAGAUCAGAGAUACUCUGAAAAUGGUGUUUUUUUCACCCUCUUUUGGAAUCUCUUGGUGAUGUAAAUUCACUUUUUUUUUUUUUGUGGAAGUUUUGGGCCGGGCCUGCAGGUUGAGCUUGGAAAAUCCAGGUUUUGCUCUGAACCUGGCAGGUCAGUCCUGUUGUUGAAAAUCCCUGGAAGAAGGGCACAAAAUAUUCACAGGAUGUUUCUCCCAUGAGGGAUGCAGACCCAUUUUGUUAUCCAGCAAGGACAGCUGUACUCUACCUAUGUGUAUUUCUGUUUUCUGCUCUAGGGGCUGGAUGUAUACAUGAAAUAUUUCUGCUCCUGUUGCACAUACAUCCACCUUGGUGAGGCUGGAACUGAGCGGACACAAGCAACAUUACUUUUUUUUUUCUUUUUCAGCUUCCAAAAAACAGAGUGCCCUUUUCAGAUGAAACAUUCAUGCCAUCAUUAGUACUGAAUGGUGUCUUCUUGACUCUGCUGUGCUCCCUCAUGGCACAGGGAAACCUAUAUAAAGAAAACUGGCUGGCUCUUGAAAAGUAUAAAUGAGAGGAACUGGCUGUGGGGAGGGUUUCUGAGUCCCGUUAGGGCUUGAGAAGGAGUUCAAACGCCUCGUUCUUCAGCUACUGGAGAUAAAAGUCCUGGAACAUUCAAUUCCCACUUUCUGCUGCUGCCAAUAAGCAGGGGGGCUUCUUCCUCAGCCUCUUACCACCGCAGAAAUAACAGAGAUAAAGCAAGCAAAAUAAAUAAAUGCGUUGUGGCUGGAAUAGAUAAUAAUUUCACCAGCUGAAUAUUAAAAUAUCAAAGCUCAAGGAAAGGAUAUAUAAUUAUGGGCCUUUGAAGUUCAAUAAAGGUCUGUUUCAUCAGCGUGGUAGCUAGCAUUUCAAAUGCAAAGACAGAAUGAUAAUACUAUGCUGGCAUUUCUGACCCACAGAGGAUAUAUUAGGAGAAGAAGGAAGUCCUUUAAGACAGAAACCAUUUAGACUGUGGCUGAUUAAUUAUCCUACCCCAAAAUGGUCUGUUCAAGAGAGGAGAAUGUUGCUCAGCAUCAUUUCUCUCUAUUUCACUCUUGCUAUAUUUCUGAAUUUUUUUAUUUAAGAAUUGUUUGACCCAGUUAGAGCAGGUGACAUGUGACACGGAAACUAAGGGACUCUAUGUGCAUAGUUAUACUGGAAAUAUCUCCAGAUAAAACAGAUGAUCUAAACUCUCCAAUCCAAUAAAUUGCAACUAAGCUUUAUUUGUUUUAUCCCAAUUUCUGAACUAGGGAUGGUGUGAAAAAGCUUAGGACGUUUCCAGGUGGUGCCAAUUUUUACUUUGACUCCACCCUAUGGCAGGUAGAGAGGCAUCAUACACAGCACAUAAGGUCCUGAAAACUCAGGUUCAGAUGAAUCUGAAGAGGUCCCUGCUCAUUGCAUGGAGGAUGACUAGAUGAUCUUUGAAGAUCCUUUCCAACCCAAAUCAUUCUCUGAUUCUGUGAAAUAGCCUUCUUUUUCCCCAGGCCCACUCUGAGACCCAGAGGCGCUGCCUGACGCCUGCCAGGCCUGCGGAUGCUGCAGCAGUGAUGGCCUCAACUGUUCCCCACUCGACAUUUCCCAGGAUGCAGGACAGCACCUGUUGCAUCGUUGGAGCUGAGCCCUGGCUUGCAUAAAGUUUGGGAGGAACACAUUGGGUUCCCAGGGGCACCAUGCCAGUGUGGAUAGAGGAAGGAGAGCUUUUGAAGGACAGUUGUAAGAUGUGCAGCAAGGCCUGUAUUUACCAGAGAGAAGAGGAUUCCCUGUGGGCACUGUCUGUUGCAGCACACAUGUCUUCGCCACAUCAAGGUCUACCCCAACUCCGUUCAGAUGUGGGAGUCACCGUGCUACUGAGACAUCACAAAGAAAUGGUAACUGCUUGUACAGAAACAUUCGACCGUUUCAGUUCCACGUUAGAAGUGAUUUCCAAAUAUCUCAGAUAAAGGCAGCUUCAUAAACUAGAUGUUCUGGAUAACUUUGGAGCUCCACUCUUAUUUUCAGAAAGCUUCAGGUAGAAAUCCGUGGGACUAAGCACUUUCAACUAGGUGGCCCAUUGUUGCAGCUGACGCCCUUGAGGAGGAAGUUUGGACUCCACACGUUUUACCAGCCUCCAAGUCUAAGUGUGGUCUGGGGAGGUCUUGGAGCUCAAUGGAGAAUAACUCCAUCAUGUGGGAAUGAGGGAGGCCAUCAAAAGUAAGAGCAUUUAGUCUUCUCUCUUCUUCCAGUGAAGCCAUUGUCCACUCAUCUAUGGAGUGUUUCUGAAGAAGUGUCUGUGCAUUACAGGAGUACCACCUGGGAAGAGCAAGGGAUGCUUUUUCUUUCACAAAUUCUCACAAUUCUUACAGAUCUGGGGCUGGAGGAGAAAGGAAAAUUCUCCAUUCUGGCUGGCUCUCUGGACUAUGUCAUAACUAUUGCUGAGCACAGAAUGUGCUUCUUUCUGGCUUUGGUUUCCUGCUCCGAAGGCUUGUGAUUGGGGAAGUUACGCUAGGAAAUAUCUGUGGUUGAAUAAAGAGGAGCAGUACAGAGAUUUGACUGAAUGUCUGCCUACUGUUAGUUUGGUAGAAGAAUAAAAUGUGUAUGAAAAAACAAAUGUUUAUAUUUGUUCUGUAAAGGCCCCUUGUGCAGGACAAACAGGAAGAAAAUAAAUUAAAACCCUUGCAAGGGCUGAGGUAUCUCUGUUUGUUUGGAUUUACACUCCUACCUUGAAGCAUCAGAGCUUUGUGUGUCUUUAACUGAACUAUGGGUUUUAGAUAACAUUUAAACAAUUCCCAGCAUAUUUUUAACCAUUGAAACACCAAAAGGAGUUUGAAACACCAAAAGAAGAAGAAUGUAUUUUACUUGAAUUGUAUGUUACCCAAAUCUCUGAAAUGUGAGUAGUGACUCACACUCCCAGCUGAUGUAAAUUGGCUAAUGAGCAGAGGGUAACCAUGUUAAUUUAUGUCUCUGCCAAGAGAGCCUCCCAUUUUGCUGCACCAGUCCCAGAGCCAUCAGCAGCUCCAGCUCACGUGCUGUCCCAGGAGAAGUUCACCAAGGAGGGGGCUGUUCAGGACACCACAGGGACUUUCAGGACCUCUCCAGGGUUUUCACUACCUCAACCACCAUGGGUCAACAUCCAGGAAGGAAGAUGUUUCUAAGGAAACCGUGGAGGCUUUCCACCAAGGUGGUUGCAUGAAAAGCACUGAAACUGUAACCACAUCCGAUAUCACCACCAGCACAACCAGGAGGCCACACCAGCUCCUCCUCUCACAGAGUCUCAUCCUGCCCACUGGGAGCCUGUAAGCUCUGCCCCCAUCAUUAGGGUUGGAACAAGCCUGCCAUCAGCACCUGCUUAGAGGAACGAAUUCAGGGCCUGACCCACCAGCCCAGACCUCCUGAUGGAUAGAGGUUGUGACAAGCAGCUCUGGAGAUACCCUACAGCAGAUGUUGAGCUAACAGGAGAUGAGGGAGGCUGAAGAAGCCCUGUUCACCACUGCUCUCAUUUCUGUUGGAAACUGAAACCCCCACUGGUGAGUGGCCUGGUCCUCUGGAUCCAACACCUCACAACAGGAUUUGUAAUGCUGAUGAGCACAGCCUCACCCAUCAUGGUGAUGUCUCCUGAGCUACUGCCUCCCUGCUGCCUCAGAGCUGAAAAUGAGACACCAAUGAUACAUGAAUAGAAGAUUUCAGGAAUAGGACUUUCUGACCACGGCUGUUCCCACCCCUCAUUUCUUACCUGGCACAUCCCUGACUGCACAAAUUACUCCUUAUCUAGCUCCAUCCAUGCCUACUGCUGCUUAACUCCCUUUUUCCUAGAUGAACUCCACCUUUAGCAUCCUUGUGCUUUUUAUAUAGGAUAACAGACCAUAAUCUCUGUAUUACAAUCAGCUGUGGCACCUGCCCAUGGCUCUGAUCACUGUGUGUACUGUAACUCUAAAGCAGCGUACAAAAAGGCAUUACACAAGGCUAGCUCAUGCUUGCUACUUUGAUUUUACCUUUGCUGUUCUGAUGGUGAGCAAACCCUCACAGAAUCCAAGGGGUGAGAAAAGGCAUAAACCAAGCUGAUCUAAAAGCAGCCCAAAUCUAUGUGGGCAGAAAAGUAACAAGCUUUGUAGAAGACUUUGAAGAGCGUGGAAGAAAGAAAGAAGAGCAAGAAGGAAAGAGACAUCUGCCAUGCAGCUCCGGCACUUGUAACAGAAACUACGUGUUUGUUCAGACCAGAGCACACCCGGGUUUACCCAGGCAAUUCUGCUGUCACAUGUCGCACACCAGACAAAACCAUACAUCAAAGUUAUCGAGCACUUGCUAGGCAGCCAGCACUGGCAUUUAUUGUGUAACGUUACAUAUACACUAUUCCCCCAUGGAAUGCAGUUAUGUUAUGCUGGAACACAGCAGCAGCCACCUCCAAACAUGCUGAAUGAUGAAGCAUUUUUGUGCUGAGGGCCAACAUCAAUUAGCUAUUACUGUGCGACCAUCGGGCUCGCUUUGUUAUUGAAGUCACUCCUCUGAACCUGCAUCACUGAAACUGUCACUUGCAGUCUCUAUGGUCAGUAAAUUGUUUAUUUUUGUAUUUUAACAGAAUGCACUUCAUACUGGCACCUUUCCUAACUUCAUCUCUCAGAUUUACUGGCUCAGCCUCUGGAAGAAGAAAAGGCCAAGCAGACCAUAUUCUAGUGGAACAUCAUGAAGGCUGCAAACUGCAAGCUUUCUUUAAGGGACAGCAUGUGGGUUAUUAUUAAACCAGAAAACAUAUGUGAAUAAUUGAGGAAAGGGAUCCAGCAUUUAGCUCAGAAAAUGUGAAGUCAGCUUGCUGAGAAUAACAUAUCUCUGCAUUUUGACCUGUUGCUGACAACAAAUAUAUUUCACUAUUACCUGGAUAGCAAUGACUGGGGGGUUUUCCUCCUCUAAAUGAAAGCCAGUUGAGAUAAGCUGGCAAGAGACAAAUGAUGCUCAUUCUACCCCUGCUUUUACUUAAUGGCUGAUAUCAAGAAUCCUCAGCAUUCAUUGGUGACAUUACUAUUAAAAACAUAUUUCUUAUCUGGCUCUUUUAUUCCUACAAAUCGAGCAUGGAAAUCCAUCUGUGCUGAUGGAGCAGUGAGCACGCAGCUGUGGGAAGGAGAAGAGCUGGACCGGGGUUGGAGUCCAGCGAACUGUGCACCUGCCUGGGCCAAGCUCACCAGGCAUCGCCUACACACAGGGAACCGCAAAACCCUGAUCCUCAAGGAGCCAAAAUACACUGAAGUCAAUAGAGAGAAUGCAAAACACAAAGGGCGUGUGUGAGACCUCACUGCAGCCACCCAGCCCAGUGCUGGUACCUAUGGGGAGGACUGGGGCACCAGUACCUGUGUGUAAUGCUUCAUCUGGCAGUGCCAGCUGGAGGGACAAUGCAGGGGUGCUUGAAGAGGAGCAGAGCAGGCUGAUCCACCAUGCUGUGCACUCCACUCCUGUCAGAAGUCCAUCCUAUUAAUUCAACUUAUAUUAAUAUAUCAAUAUGUGGAUGCAAUAAAUUGCCAAGUGCAAAAUAAUCCCGGGCAAGUGAUGUAUGUAUAUGUGCGUGUGUGUGUGUGCUUCUGAGCAGCACGUCGUGUGUGCGUGGUACGUGAUACACAAACAACAUCCUACCCAGAUCAGGUCUCUAGGAUUAAAAAUAUAUGAUGAAUUAAAAUUUCAUACAAAAUUCUAGCUUUGGUGACUAUUGGAAAACAUUACUUUCCCCUUUACCCCCUUUAUGCCCAGAAAGUAUUUUAGCAGGGCAGAUAAGUAAAUGUUUCCCAGUCUUUUCCACUAUGGAAGAUGAUUUGUAACCACAAGUGUUGCUGAUAAGAAAUGAAAUUGUCUUACCCGAUUGUUUUAAGGUACUAAAGAAAAUACUGUAAUGCUUAGUAACGCCAUACAGGUAACAUGGGACAACACAGUGAAUCAGAUGAAAUUUAAUGGCAAGUGAAAACAUCACCUUUAUUUAUAUGAACCAAACAUGAAUUCGAGGUAAUGUUUUACUUCCAGUUUAUCUGAACUUCUCUGUUUCUUUUAUUAUCUGUCCUUGGGGCAUGAACAAAGCUUUACCUGAUUAUCUGGAGUCAACAAAGACAGACAUAACUUCAGGUUUCUUAUGAUCUACAGAUGGGCUACUUCAGAGUGUCAGGAGUGUGCACAGACAUGAUCAGGUAACUGCCGGAGGAUGAGGGUAUCUGAUGACCAGUUCUAAUACUGGCAGGAAAAAAAUCUUUCCUUAUAAAGACACCACUAAGACCCAAGUGGAAAAAAGACAGAAAGCUAGAAGGAGAAGAAAAGUGCUGGGUGCUUUCAUAUUUCAGAUAUGACUGCAUCUUGCUCGUUUUCUCUUUGCAAGUUCUCAGGUAGGAACAUAUGGGGCUGUUUGGCCACGGGAGGAGACACCAUGGAUGGGAAGAGGAAUCACACUGCUCCUUCUACAAGGUGGCCAAAACCCACCGAGGUCUCCUAGGGAGGUACUGAGCUGCAUUCCUCAUUCUUGAAUUUAAACAUAAAAGGGAAACCUUGAGGUCUCAGGAGCUGACUUGUGGGUGUCUCUGGGUGUGCAAGAGCCACAUUCACUGCAGGGAUUUCCAAAGCAAACCCAGAGAUAUUCCAGCCCGUGCCCUGCAAACAGCCCAGAUUAGCAGGGAAUAAUGGAAUAAUGUCCCUUUCUCUCCCCUUGCAGGACUCCCUAAGAAAUAAUGUGAUACGGUAUCAAAACAACAAUCCUCUAUCACCCCAUUUUGCUUUCAGCUCUACAAGGACAAGACGGGCCGAAUUGAUCAUGCAAGAUUGAUGAGGCCACCAGGUGAAGUUUAGGUGAAAAUUGCUUCCAGAUUUAACACCAGCUUUGCCUUCAUACUCCAACUGAAAGCAGAAGUUUUCUGCAUGAGUGUAAGUAACUCGGGGUGAGUUACUUUGGAGCCAGUCUCUUCAUGCAGUUUUUGUUUGUGAUUUUUCCAUUGUGUCUGAGCACAGUAUUUAGUGUCAAAGUGAAUCUGAGACUGAUCAUUUUUACGAUUUUUUUACUGAGAAAAGACAUUAAGCUACUUACUUUGGCUGCACUUCCUACCCUGCAGAAAUUAUUUAUCCAAGCACAGCAGCAAAGUGGGUCAGAGGAGGAAUAAAAAAAGAAACUACCCACAGAAAUCUUGAAUCCCUUGCAAAAGUUGGAUUAAGACUCAAGACACUGGGCAAAAAUCACUUGCCACAUUCUCCAUUUCAAAGGAAAGGUAUCAGCUCUGACGGCGUGAAAGGGCUGCAAAGUUUGAGCUGCGAAGUCCCUCUCCCAUGGUUUGUAAAGCCAGCAAAGAGAAAGAUUCACCUCUCAAAGCUGCUCUGCCUUUACCUCAAAGGCAUGUAAAUCCCAAAGAGCCAGUUGCUUCCUUGACUACAUGAAAAUAAAGUGGAGAAAGCCUUGGGAAAAUGCUGGUAAGCACCAGCGCCCAAGGCGGUGAUGGGAGGAGGCGGGGGGGUGGAAAGCUUUUUUUCCUGCAAUUUCUACCACAAACUGCUCUUGUUAGGUUUACUGGGAGAGUCAUAUCUUUUCCCAGCUCCCUGAAGUGAGGGGAGCUUUGCUGAGCCCCAGGAAUGAACUGGGACAGGCAGAGAUAGCACCAUAACUGCAGGUCCCACACAAGAAAAACCAAGAGCUGAAGUUGCAAAAAAAGAGAAAAGAGUAAUCUAGGAGUGAAACAUGAGAGAAGUCUGAAGUCUGCCCCAACAGCUCCCUGUAACUUAACCAUCAAGGCUGCAGCAAAACCUUGGACUAACUUCUUGCUACAGGAAAAGUCACUUCGGUGCAGCUGGGAGGACUGGAAAACACGUACAAUUAUAUUUGCAGAGUAACCAGAGAAAGAAGACAUCUCGCCAUUUGUGAAACAAUCUAUGUGGAUACACAGGGAAGCACAAGCAAUGAUGGUAGCUCAGCUAAUCAAGCAGGAUCUGACAUUAAUAAACCAGCAGUGGAGGAGGGGAGAUAAGCCCUGGCAUGGCUGUUGGCAGAAGGGUCUUUUUCUUGCUUCACUGACAGGAAUCCAGCCACCCACAAAAGCCUAAAAUAUUUCUCCUUACAUUAGCCAAUUAAAACCCCAAUCCUAAUUCUGAUAAACUUCAGGUGGUGCUGUAAUCUGUUAUUUAUUUGUGCUUCCCAGCACUGAUGAGUGAUCCUACAGGACCACAAGCAAGCAGUAAGGUAUUUCCACCUCCAGUGCAAGCAAAGAAAGCAGUAUCAACCCAGUGUACCCAUGGACCAAGAAGAUGAGAUUAGUGGUAUUUUCAGAGUGACUCCAAGCUGAACAUGGUCUGAUCUCACUGAGGUUAAUUCCCAGUAUCUGUAGGAGCAUCAUUACUGGGGGUAGUCCCAGCCAGGGCAGAGAUGGUGGCUGUGCAGUGUUAGGACAGCAAAGUGGGUGACUUCUGGGGUAAGAUGAUUGGUAUUUGCACAAUGAAACUCCAGAAUGGCUCCAGAUUCCUCUGAGGCCAGAUUAAUUCAUUUCUGUGUAAGUCAGCCAUUAGACUGCUUCUUUUCCUUAGGUCUUUCCAUGACUGCUUAACAAAGUCCUCCUACUAACUCCCCACUUGAAAAGUAGGAAUUCAGACAACUUUGAAGAGCCUUUGGGGAAAAAGAAGAUAGCUGGGCAAAUCUGGUGUCUCCUCUGAUCAUACACCAUAGAUAUGCUAUUGGUUUCCAUGAAGUGAUUAGAACCAGAGGUGAGACCUGUGAGCAAAUUGGAAAACGUCGUUCAGCUCAUCCCACGUGAUCUUUCCUCACCAAAAUGUUAGGAAACCAAGCUGUGCGGUAUGGAGCAGCUCCAUAUUGCUUGCAGAUGUCAGGAUGAAGAAGUUCAUUUCCGUCUGUGAAAGAAAGGUCACUGAGGAGCAGAGCUCGUGGCAGCCUCCACUGGCACAUACGUACCCACCAAGCAGGACAACAGGCUGCUCUCAGGGACAUUUGCCAUGCAGAAAGAACAUUUUGCAACUUUGACGUGCAUUAGGGUGAAGUUAGCUGUAAGUGCGUACUCAACCUCAGACACCCGCUGCCUUCCAAAACCUUUUUUUCAAGUUUUUUUUCCCCUGAUUGAUAUUUUCAAAGAGCAGCUCUUUAAGGUGGGUGAUUUCCAAGGAGGACAAUUGUGCAAACAAGUCGUGGUGGAUGGUUAGAGUGGGAAAAUGCACGGCUGGAGGAAGAGUGGGGCUGUAAAUAUAUUGCAAAAUAUUACAGUGUUUGGACUGUUCGUAGCAUAGCCUGAGUCAGCAGUCCGUGUUUUCUCCCAGGCAAGAACAGAUAUUUCAUGCAAACUUUGCCAUCCUGUUCUUGUUUCCUGUGUAUAAGAAAUGACCUGAAGGCAGAGAAGUAGACAAUGCAUAAAAUUGUGAUGCAUGAAGGGUACAAAUAAGCCAGGAGCAUUUUAAAAUGAAGCUUUUCAGCAUCUGAAUUAUUUAGCAGAAGAGUUGGAGGAAAGGAGGGGGUUACUGGCUGACUGUGGAAAAAGGCGACUGUGAUGUGGGAACCAAUAGGGAAAUGCAGUUGACAUUUAAACACAGCGAGGAAGAGGAAGGCAGAGACUUUCUGCUCAAAGUGUGUUGGUGUGCACUGCUCUGGAGCAGGGUGAAUAGCUAAUAAAAGGCACAAGGGUCAAGUGUCUGUUUCUGUGCCCGAUGAAGGCAAAAAAGGUCCCAUCACUGGCAGCCCAUGUGGGCACCUCUCCCAGCUGCAUUUGCAGUGCUUCCCUGUCCUGUCCAUAGGGCUGGACCGAGCAUCCCCCAUAUAAGGGCUUAUGAAUUUGCUCCUGGAGUCUGCUCUAAAGACACAAUUCUAAGAGUUCUGAAGACUGCAGAGUACUGGUGUCUCUGCUAUCAGAAAAACAGUAUAUCUACCUUCUCGCUGUGGCUGCCACCUGUCAAAACUACUAUUUCUUAUAUUGAUCUUUUUACCCCUUCUCCUUCCAUUGCAUGCAUGAAUCCUUUAAAAAUCCAGCACUUUCAACCACAUAUGAAUUCUACUUUUUUUGUAAAUAAAAGCACUUUAAGAAA